UGCGUGCCGCCGUUGAUCCGGUGCUGCAGUGAGGAGGUGGUUCUCGCCCGUGUUGUGUGUGUGUGUGUGUGAGUGAGAGAGCGAGUGAGUGAGUGAGUGAGUGAGUGUGUGUGUGUGGGGACUCAGCUUGUUGUUGUCGGUGAUUUCCCCCUCCCCUCACCCCUCCCCCUUCCCCGUCGCCGCUGCAGUGGCCGCUCCCUGGGCCGUAGGAAAUGAGCGAUAACGAUGACAUCGAGGUGGAGAGCGACGAAGAGCAACCGAGGUUUCAAUCUGCGGCUGACAAACGGGCUCAUCAUAAUGCACUGGAACGAAAACGUAGGGACCACAUCAAAGACAGCUUUCACAGUUUGCGGGACUCAGUCCCAUCACUCCAAGGAGAGAAGGCAUCACGGGCCCAAAUCCUAGACAAAGCCACAGAGUAUAUCCAAUAUAUGCGAAGGAAAAACCACACACACCAGCAAGAUAUUGAUGACCUCAAGCGGCAGAAUGCUCUCCUGGAGCAGCAAGGGGAAAGCGAGAGCUGAUCAAGUUCUUUGUUCCUGGGGAAUUCACUUCUCUUCCUCCCUCAUGGAAGAUGCAAGUAAAAGGAAAUUCCGUGCACUGGAGAAAGCGAGGUCAAGUGCCCAACUGCAGACCAACUACCCCUCCUCAGACAACAGCCUCUACACCAACGCCAAGGGCAGCACCAUCUCUGCCUUCGAUGGUGGCUCAGACUCCAGCUCAGAAUCGGAGCCUGAAGAGCCCCAAAGCAGGAAGAAGCUCCGGAUGGAGGCCAGCUAAGCUCUGCAGAGCAGGCCAGCAAUAAAAAACUGUCUGUCUCCUCCGUCGUCUCAUCUUCCUUUCAGUUCAUCCUUAGACCCCCCUCAGAACCAUUUAAGAGACUAUUUUUUUUUCUUUCUUUUUGUUUUUUAAUUUUAUUUUUACGUAGAAGCUCUUGGACAACAGCUCUCGUCUCCUUUCCCGUUUCCUUUUUUUUUUUUUUAACUUUUCCCUUCAGGGAUUCCCUGUCCCCUUCAGGAAUUUUUAAACCAAAACACCCCAACGUGGCAGCUUUUUCUGUGGAGGACAGACGGCCGGCCGGACCUCUGAGCACACGGUGUCCUGACUACCCACCAGCUCCUCCAGCCCUGCCGGGCCUGUGCCCAAGGACUCCUGCCCUCCUAGGCUCCCCUCCCGGGCCGCCCUCACCACCGUUUGAUAAGACUUUGUGAAUCUGUGGACUGCUCUGCUUUAAGAAGAUGGCCGGUUUGGAGUAAUCAGAAUUUCAGAAUUGCCCUUCUUUUUAAGGUUGUUUUUUUUGUUUUUUUGAUUUUUUUUUCCUAAAAAGCUGUUUAUCGCUCCUAUCAAAAGACCAGAUCCUUGGAAAAUCUGUGUACAAGGAAGUGGGGACAGAUUCGCAACACAGAGUCUUUGUCCUGUUUUACUCCUGCUUCUCCGCCAGCCUCAGGGAGGGCUGAGUGACAUUUGUGUGGUAUGUGUCGGUGACAGGCGGCAGCAGUGAAGCAGUGACCAUCACAGGUGGUAACGGGUGGUGCAGGAGGGGAGGAUCAGGUGGGCUAGAGAUUGUGUAUUAAGGGCCAGUGAUGAUGUUUUGAUAUUUAUUUCCUGCUACUGAAAUUUGAAUCUGAGUGAAUUGUCCCUAUUUCUGAUGAUGUCGGUAUUGCAAAGCGACAGAUUCAUAAAGUAAUGAUCAAAUCUUCCUUUCUUUCCGUGUGUUUUUCUAAGAAAUAGAGCCAACUGAUUUUGUAUGUAAAUACCAAGAGCAAUUUACCUGGUACUAAACUCGCACCCCAGUGCGGACCCUUACCUGCCCUCGCCCACUCCACCAAGCUUCUUGGAACCUGUCCCCAUUGUGUGAUCCAUCCCUGGUUCUGACAGCUCAGAUCCAGUGAAGGGUUUUGUGUGUUUAGGCCUCAUUUCUUUGUCUUUUUUCCUACUCUGUUCCUGGCAUUUGCUGAUUUCUAGUGUAUACUCUGUAGUCUCAGUCCGUGUUUGAUUCCAUUCCAUGGAAAUAAAAAGUAUGUUGUACAUACUGCCGAAGAAUUGUCUUGCAAGUUAAGGCUUUCCCCUUUACUAUAAGACUAUAAAUAAAAACUUAUUUUAUCCUU